CCUACGGGAGGCAGCAGUGGGGAAUAUUGGGCAAUGGACGCAAGUCUGACCCAGCAACGCCGCGUGAAGGAAGAAGGCUUUCGGGUUGUAAACUUCUUUUAAGGGGGAAGAGCAGAAGACGGUACCCCUUGAAUAAGCCACGGCUAACUACGUGCCAGCAGCCGCGGUAAUACGUAGGUGGCAAGCGUUGUCCGGAUUUACUGGGUGUAAAGGGCGUGCAGCCGGAGAGGCAAGUCAGAUGUGAAAUCCGCGGGCUCAACUCGCGAACUGCAUUUGAAACUGCUUCCCUUUAGUAUCGGAGAGGUAAUCGGAAUUCCUAGUGUAGCGGUGAAAUGCGUAGAUAUUAGGAAGAACACCAGUGGCGAAGGCGGAUUACUGGACGACAACUGACGGUGAGGCGCGAAAGCGUGGGGAGCAAACAGGAGUAGAUACCCGGGUAGUC
rnacentral:rRNA from 1 species